rnacentral:rRNA from 1 species
CUGACGGAGCGAUGCCGCGUGGAUGAAGAAUGCAGAGAUGUUGUAAAAUCCUUUUAUGGGUGAGGAAUAAUGGUAAUAGGAAAUGAUUACCUGAUGACGUUAACUCAUGAAUAAGCUCCGGCCAAUUACGUGCCAGCAGCCGCGGUAACACGUAAGGAGCGAGCGUUGUUCGGAAUUAUUGGGCGUAAAGGGCGUGUAGGCGGUUAAUUAAGUCUUGUUUGAAAGACCGGUGCUCAACACCGGAACCGGACAGGAAACUGAUUAACUAGAAUCCGGUAGGGAAAUGUGGAAUUUCUAGUGUAGGGGUGAAAUCUGUUGAUAUUAGAAAGAACACCAAUGGCGAAGGCAACAUUUUGGGCCUGGAUUGACGCUGAUGCGCGAAAGCAUAGGGAGCAAACAGGAUUAGAUACCCUGGUAGUCUAUGCCGUAAACUUUGUACACUUGGUGUCGGGGGUCAAACCUCGGUACCGAAGCUAACGCGAUAAGUGUACCGCCUGGGGAGUAUGCCGGCAACGGUGAAACUCAAAGGAAUUGACGGGGGCCCGCACAAGCGGUGGGGCAUGUGGUUUAAUUCGAUGAUACGCGAGGAACCUUACCAGGGCUUAAAUGUAGUUUGACCGGUCUGGAAACAGACUUUCUCUUCGGAGCAGAUUACAAGGUGCUGCAUGGUUGUCGUCAGCUCGUGCCGUGAGGUGUUAGGUUAAGUCCUGCAACGAGCGCAACCCCUAUUCUUAGUUGCCAGCGGUUCGGCCGGGGACUCUAAGAAGACUGCCAGCGCAAGCUGAGAGGAAGGUGGGG